AAAAAGUAAUAUUAAUAAAAUGUUUCACAUAUAUAUUAUAGCACCCACGAUACUAAUGACAAAAUAUAUUUAUUAAAAGUUUACCUAAUAAUCAAUUAAAUUUUUGGUUUAUAUAUUUUUGUUUCAAGCUAAAAGUUUUUACAAAAAAAUAUUUUCACCCUUUUCCGAUGUUUGUUUCAUGUAAAAUAGGAUGGUCAAUGUAAAAU
rnacentral:lncRNA from 1 species